rnacentral:rRNA from 1 species
GACAGAGGUGGCUAGCGUUGUUCGGUAUCACUGGGCUUAAAGCGUGUGUAGGCGGAAGCGUAAGCAUUUUGUGAAAUCCCUCGGCUUAACCGGGGAAUCGCUUGAUGUACUGCGUUUCUUGAGGCAGGUAGGGGUGCGAGGAACUCUUGGUGGAGCGGUGGAAUGCGUAGAUAUCAAGAGGAACGCCGGUGGUGAAGACGUCGCACUGGGCCUGUCCUGACGCUGAGACACGAAAGCGUGGGGAGCGAAC